UACAGAGGGUGCGAGCGUUGUCCGGAAUCACUGGGCGUAAAGGGCGCGUAGGUGGCGGCAUAAGGCUGUGGUGAAAGUCCGGGGCUCAACUCCAGAUCGGCCGCGGCGACUGUGUCGCUUGGGCACCGUAGAGGCAGAUGGAAUUCCGGGUGUAGCGGUGGAAUGCGUAGAGAUCCGGAAGAACACCAGUGGCGAAGGCGGUCUGCUGGGCGGUGGACUCGAAAGAGUCCAAUAGCCGACACUGAGGCGCGACAGCGUGGGGGGCAAACAGG
rnacentral:rRNA from 1 species